rnacentral:lncRNA from 1 species
GUGGUGAGGGUAUUUUUUUAUCUUUUAUAUUUUAUUCAUUGUGAAUAUUUUUAUAAAUUUUUGAAUUAUACUGUUAUUCAUGUUAUUAUAAAUUUGUAUGAUUGUUUGUUUUGUUUUUUUCUUUUGUUUUUUCUUUUUUAUUGAAAAACAAUAUUGCGCACAUUGUAACUGUGUUCAUGGUGUUGCUCCAUUGGUUUAGCCAUCUCAAUAAAGAUUUUAUGAAUAUUUGUACAUUAAAAUCAUGAAAAGUUUACAUCACAGGCCAAACAGAUGAUUGAUUCAUCCUAUUAUAUCUAACUGUAACAAAUUGAAUAGCUAAUUUU